rnacentral:rRNA from 1 species
ACUCCUACGGGAGGCAGCAGUGGGGAAUAUUGCGCAAUGGGCGGAAGCCUGACGCAGCAACGCCGCGUGAGGGAUGACGGCCUUCGGGUUGUAAACCUCUUUCGCGAUCGACGAAGCCGGUGACGGUAGGUCGAGAAGAAGCACCGGCCAACUACGUGCCAGCAGCCGCGGUAAUACGUAGGGUGCGAGCGUUGUCCGGAAUUAUUGGGCGUAAAGAGCUCGUAGGCGGUGUGUCGCGUCGGCCGUGAAAACCUGGGGCUCAACUCUGGGCGUGCGGUCGAUACGGGCACACUUGAGUUCGGCAGGGGAGACUGGAAUUCCUGGUGUAGCGGUGAAAUGCGCAGAUAUCAGGAGGAACACCGGUGGCGAAGGCGGGUCUCUGGGCCGAUACUGACGCUGAGGAGCGAAAGCAUGGGGAGCGAACAGGAUUAGAUACCCUGGUAGUCCAUGCCGUAAACGUUGGGCGCUAGGUGUGGGGUCCAUUCCACGGGUUCCGUGCCGCAGCUAACGCAUUAAGCGCCCCGCCUGGGGAGUACGGCCGCAAGGCUAAAACUCAAAGGAAUUGACGGGGGCCCGCACAAGCGGCGGAGCAUGUGGAUUAAUUCGAUGCAACGCGAAGAACCUUACCUGGGUUUGACAUGCACCGGACGCGUCCAGAGAUGGGCGUUCCUUGUGGUCGGUGUGCAGGUGGUGCAUGGCUGUCNUCAGCUCGUGUCGUGAGAUGUUGGGUUAAGUCCCGCAACGAGCGCAACCCUCGUUCUAUGUUGCCAGCACGUAAUGGUGGGGACUCAUAGGAGACUGCCGGGGUCAACUCGGA